rnacentral:rRNA from 1 species
AUUGAACGCUGGCGGCAUGCCUAACACAUGCAAGUCGAACGGAGGUAGGGGCAACUCUACUUCAGUGGCGGACGGGUGAGGAAUGCGUCGGAAUCUACCCUAUGGUGGGGGAUAACACAGGGAAACUUGUGCUAAUACCGCAUAAUGUCGAGAGACCAAAGCAGGGGACCGCAAGGCCUUGCGCGAUAGGAUGAGCCGACGCCCGAUUAGCUAGUUGGUAGGGUAAAGGCCUACCAAGGCGACGAUCGGUAGCUGGUCUGAGAGGAUGAUCAGCCACACUGGGACUGAGACACGGCCCAGACUCCUACGGGAGGCAGCAGUGGGGAAUAUUGGACAAUGGGCGCAAGCCUGAUCCAGCAAUGCCGCGUGUGUGAAGAAGGCCUGCGGGUUGUAAAGCACUUUUGUUCGGGAAGAAAUCAUGCUGGUUAAUACCUGGUAUGGAUGACGGUACCGAAAGAAUAAGCACCGGCUAAACUUCGUGCCAGCAGCCGCGGUAA